rnacentral:rRNA from 1 species
CCUGAAAGGGCGGGGUGCCCGCAAGGGAGCGUGGAGACAGGUGGUGCAUGGCUGUCGUCAGCUCGUGUCGUGAGAUGUUGGGUUAAGUCCCGCAACGAGCGCAACCCUCACCCCUAGUUGCCACCGGGUAAUGCCGAGCACUCAAGGGGAACUGCCAGCGUCAAGCUGGAGGAAGGCGGGGAUGACGUCAAGUCAUCAUGCCCCUUACGUCCUGGGCUACACACGUGCUACAAUGGCCAGUACAAAGGGAUGCGAGACCGCGAGGUGGAGCUAAUCCCAAAAAGCUGGUCUAAGUUCAGAUUGCAGUCUGCAACUCGACUGCAUGAAGGAGGAAUCGCUAGUAAUCGCGCAUCAGCACGGCGCGGUGAAUACGUUCCCGGGCCUUGUACACACCGCCCGUCACACCACGAAAGCUUA